UUCACCUCCCUCUCCAUACUUACCAUGGCUACUCCACCUCACCCUUCGCAAGCCUCUGGAUCCUGGUUCUAAGUGUCUUUCACUUCUAGGAACUCAUUUAGUUCCUGCAGCAACCUUAUGAGGCAGUAUGGAGUCCCAGGAAGACUCUUAAGUUCUGCUACUGAUGGAUGAACUGGGUGCCUGUAGAGUGUGGAAGGCCUAGACAUGGGUUCUAAACUCCUUCCCAGCUGCCUGACCCCCAAAGUCUGUCCUCUGGCGGUGGGGAAAUAGAAUUACAAACAAAAUCUAUCCCAGCAAGCCUCUCUGCAGAGGUAGAAGAGGAAGAAAACACUUUCAUCAUUGAAGAGGCAUUAACUCAGAGUGAGAUGUGCAUCACAGGCAAUGAUCCGCUAAGAUGCUGCAAAGACAGAAAGAAAUCUCACGCUUAUCUAGCCAGUGGGUCCAACCCAUUGCUCACUGCACGCAUUCUCAAGAAGAGUAAUGCCUAGUCCUCAGAUCAGUGGACUUCUCAGCACCUUUGGCCACACCCAUUUAUUGGAGAUUCAACCUCAAUUUACCUGACCACCUGCGUUUGCUAAUUACCUUGUUACAAAGGAAAAUAAACUCUUACCUUCAUGACAGGAGGUAGAUUUACCACUCACAGCAGAUGUUAGGCCCCCACCAUCCCACAGAGACUGGCAGAUAGGGCCCUGGCUGCUCUGAUGAUGACGUUUCAAAGACGGGCUCCCAGGUCCUUCAGGAACACAGUCCUGGGUUGCAAAGCUGGCAAGAGGCUUAUUUAGCUGUCAAAAAGCAUUGCUUGCCCCUCAAAGGGGCAGAGGAAGAUUUACAACGACAAGUUUUCCAAAGAAAACGCUGAGAGGACACCACUUCCCUUGUUUUGUUUUGUUUUUAUUAUUAUUAUACUUUAAGUUUUAGGGUACAUGUGCACAAUGUGCAGGUUAGUUACAUGUGUAUACAUGUGCCAUGCUGGUGUGCUGCACCCAUUAACUCGUCAUUUAGCAUUAGGUAUAUCUCCUAAUGCUAUUCGUCCCCCCUCCCCCCACCCCACAGCAGUCCCCAGAGUGUGAGGUUCCCCUUCCUGUGUCCAUGUGUUCUCAUUGUUCAGUUCCCACCUAUGAGUGAGAAUAUGCGGUGUUUGGUUUUUUGUUCUUGCGAUAGUUUACUGAGAAUGAUGAUUUCCAAUUUCAUCCAUGUCCCUACAAAGGACAUGAACUCAUCAUUUUUUUAUGGCUGCAUAGUAUUCCAUGGUGUAUAUGUGCCACAUUUUCUUAAUCCAGUCUAUCAUUGUUGGACAUUUGGGUUGGUUCCAAGUCUUUGCUACUGUGAAUAGAGCCGCGAUAAACA